rnacentral:lncRNA from 1 species
AGUUUUAGUUAUUUGUCACAUGAGUCCUAUGGUCACUGCAAAGCUCCCAAUGCAGGAGUUAUCAUUUCUCACAGGUGCCUUCUGAGGGGAGACUUAAGCCCAAUAAUAAAGCUACAAAUUAGCAUAAAAUGUAUGUAUCUUGGUACUAGAGGCAUUUGGAUAAAACUUAACCAAUUCAAAUAGCUCAUUUUGUGAAGGUCUAAAACAAAAUUCUUGUUCUUAUGACUAGUUUUUGAAACUGUAGACUUCUUAUAAUGAGAAUCAGGUUUCAGUUUGAAACUAGCAUGUUAUAUUUUAGCCUACAAUAGUUGUGAUACGCUGUAAUUGUGAUGAGCUUAAUCAUACAUGCUCAGUUAAGUGACAUGUUUCACAAGCCGCCUUGUCACAUAUCUCUAAUUCUUCCUCAUUUAUACUUCUGCUUUGCAACAGUCUUUGCAUGUAGGACAAACCAUCAUCCAAAGUUCUUUCUCAUCCAGAAGCAUUUUCUUAUUCACCUGGUUUCAUUUUUUUCAAUUUCCCCCUUUAUACCUAGAGCUUCUUAUAGAUAGUCCUAUUUUAUCAGAUGGAAUGCAAAAACACUUAGAAGCUGGACAGUAAGGAGAAGAAACAAGGAGCCAAGGCUGGUUCCAUAAGAGUGUUCUAAAAGGGUAACCUUCCAGCUGAGAAGCCCAGAAGGAACAGCCUGCAGCUGAAGCUGAAGCCCUACCUUGGUUAGGGAAUUGGCAGACGUGCCUAAAAUGCUAUGUAUUCCAUGCCCUGUACACGAACAAGUACUUAGCCAGAUGCAAAGUUGGAAAAGUUCUCGUUAUAUCACAAAGCUAGAAUGGUGGUACGGGGUGCUUCAGCUCAGCACACCUGCAGAUGUGCUGCAGAAACAAAGUGGUAUGUUCUUGUCACUCCCAGGACCAUCAGGGAACCCUGUGCUCGGCACCAGUGCUGUCAACUUGAGCUCUUGUUCCAAGAGUACUGUGAGACAUGUUAAAUGGAUCUGAGUUCCUCUGACAUAUCCUACCCUGGAAGUGCUUGCAUGAACUUACAGCCAGAGAACAGAUUGUUAUACAUUAGUGCAGGAGCUGAGUAGUGCACUAGCUAUGCAAGCUUGUCAACUUGAAUUUGCGUACUAGAGUCCAUGCAAAGAGUUGGAUGGAGUGGUAUGCAUCUGUCAUUCCAGCACUUCUGUAGUGAGGUGGGAGGCAGAAGAUGGAAGAUGGUUGUGGCCUAGCUAGUCCAAGGUAAAGAAGGCAGGAGGCAAGAACUGAUGCCCUAAAGAUUGUCCUCUGACUUCCACAUGUAUGCUGUGACAUGUGCAUACACCCUCCAUACGUAAGUAAUAGGUGGGAGGGGUUUUUUGUUUUUUUGUUUUUUUAAGUAAUGCAUAUACCAAAUACAUUGGUAAGGACACCAGACAGGCAAUUUUUGCAGAUUUCACUGACAUUUUAGCUUUUGGUCUGGUAAGAACAUAUUCUAAGGUUUUACCUACUAGUGAAAGGAUAUUAGGCCAGGGAGGGGGUUGUUAAUGGCUAUUAAGGAUAUUAAAGAUAGCAUUUGUUUCUAACAUUUCAACUCUACAAUCAGAAAUUCUGAUCAGUCUGUAGACUCUUAACGUAAGUGUGGCUUUUGGAGGGAAUGUCAGCCUAUAUGACUCAGUAGCCUCAGGAAGAGAUUUCGCUCAGCAUCAAAAUGAGUUUAUUUUGGAUUUGCUGGGUGGGGAUUAGAAUCUGCUGCUCCCCACUUGAACCCCUUACAACAUUAGUGCUGCAUUAGAUCAUCUCACAUGGUUAGGUUCCUGGAACAUGGCAUGAAGACAACUGGAAAUUCUCUCUGUGAUCUGUGUUCUGGCAAGCUGGGCCUGAUCGUCUAGUUCAUGUCCUGCACAGACACGGUCUUUUUUUUUCCCCCAACUGUAUAAUAAGAAUUGCCAGACCCACUGGGCAGUGAUGAUGACACAUACCUUUAAUCCCAGCAUUUAGGAGGCUAGAGGCAGGUGGAUUUCUGUGAAUUCCAGGACAGCCAGCACUGCAUAGAGAAACCACGUUCCCUAAACCAAAAUCAAAUCAACAUAUCCGACCCAUCCCACCAAUGUGAACAUUUUAGAUAAUACUGGAAAAAAUGCCUAUUUAGUAAGGGAAAGAGCUUUUAAAAUGUGAGGGGAGGAGAGUCAGUAAUACAGCAACAAGAGUGAAGUGUCUUCUACAUGCCAGAUGCCACAUCCAUACAUGUUCUCAGAACCCAUGAGAACGCUGGCAUAGCCAUCCAGCCCUUUAAACAAAGCCUACCUAGUAUCGUGUGUACUCAGUGUCAGCAAUGAUAGAUGCCCUUCAACCCUAGCAACUGAACUGUUAGCAGCAGCACCUGCCAUCCCAGUGUGCGUGCAAGGCAGGCUAAUGGACGAGCUAGCUGCUUCUAGCUAGGGACUGUGGUGAGGUUGUCCACUGAGGCUCUGGUCAGUAAAGGGCUUAAAUGAAGCUGCAGGACCACAUGUCACUGUCAAGCUGAUGUCAGGAGUACUCAGUUCUUUGCCACAUGAACAUCUCCAUAGGAUUGCUUUGAAUGUCAUUUGGAAUGAUGUAGCACAAGUGCCCUUCAAGGCCUGAACAGGUCAGGAACAUAUACUCAGACUUUAUAAAGACUGAGGUCCGUGCAAGUUAAAACAUGGAUGAAUCUUGAAACUGGUGCCAAAAGUGAAAGAAGCUAGAC